GUGUGUGUGUGUGUGUUAGUGUGUGAGUAUACAGUGUGUGUGUGUGUGUGUGAGUAUACAGUGUGUGUGUUAGUGUGUGAGUAUACAGUGUGUGUGUGAGUGUGUGAGUAUACAGUGUGUGUGUGUAUGUGUGAGUAUACAGUGUGUGUGAGUAUACAGUGUGUGUUAGUGUUAGUAUACAGUGUGUGUGUUAGUGGGUGAGUAUACAGUGUGUGUGUUAGUGGGUGAGUAUACAGUGUGUGUGUGUGUUAGUGUGUGAGUAUACAGUGUGUGUGUUAGUGGGUGAGUAUACAGUGUGUGUGUGAGUGUGUGAGUAUACAGUGUGUGUGUUAGUGGGUGAGUAUACAGUGUGUGUGUUAGUGGGUGAGUAUACAGUGUGUGUGAGUGUGUGAGUAUACAUGUUGUGUUAGUGGGUGAGUAUACAGUGUGUGUGUUAGUGUGUGAGUAUACAGUGUGUGUGUUAAUGUGUG
ensembl:lncRNA